rnacentral:rRNA from 1 species
UGGGGAAUUUUGGACAAUGGGCGAAAGCCUGAUCCAGCAAUGCCGCGUGUGUGAAGAAGGCCUUCGGGUUGUAAAGCACUUUUGUCCGGAAAGAAAUCCUUGGCUCUAAUACAGUCGGGGGAUGACGGUACCGGAAGAAUAAGCACCGGCUAACUACGUGCCAGCAGCCGCGGUAAUACGUAGGGUGCAAGCGUUAAUCGGAAUUACUGGGCGUAAAGCGUGCGCAGGCGGUUUGCUAAGACCGAUGUGAAAUCCCCGGGCUCAACCUGGGAACUGCAUUGGUGACUGGCAGGCUAGAGUAUGGCAGAGGGGGGUAGAAUUCCACGUGUAGCAGUGAAAUGCGUAGAGAUGUGGAGGAAUACCGAUGGCGAAGGCAGCCCCCUGGGCAAUACUGACGCUCAUGCACGAAAGCGUGGGGAGCAAACAGGAUUAGAUACCCUGGGUAGUCCACGCCCUAAACGAUGUCAACUAGUUGUUGGGGAUUCAUUCCUUGGUAACGUAGCUAACGCGUGAAGUUGACCGCCUGGGGAGUACGGUCGCAAGAUUAAAACUUAAAU